rnacentral:misc_RNA from 1 species
AGAGAUUAUAGCUUUGGGGUUUCAAUGACAGUACUAAAUUUUUUUUGCAGUCUCUUUUCUAUUUGUGUAUAUUUUGGUCCAUUAAUUGUUAAUCAGAAGUUAAAGGAUUACGUAUUUUUCGAGAAUUCUUUAUUUAUCACGGAGACUGUACGUCUCAUUCCUUAGAGAGCGCUCGGAGACAAGACAGAUGUAUUUAGGGGAGGAAUGAAUUAAGCGCAUAAUGUGAUAUCCAGAAGAAUUUAAGCUUGCUGCAAAUUCAAUUCUUACAGAGAAAUAUGGAAUCGACUAAUGGUGAAAACUUUACAGCAAAUAUUUCUUUUUAUUUUACCUGUUUAAAUGGAACUUUGAAUAUGUCAAAAUUGUGUAACGAUUCCGAAAUCAACUCGUUUCCCUCAACGAUUCAUUCGGAUGAUGAAGAUAAGUUAUCCAUAGAUGCCUUAAUAGGAUUAAUAUUUCUGUAUGCCAUAACAACUUUUCUGUCCUUGGGUGGCAAUAUUUUGGUGGUAUUGGUCUUUGUGAAAGGUCGACGUUCGAGAACAGACCUUAGACUCUUCCUAAUCAACCUUGCAGCAUCCGACUUAAUUAUGGCAGCCUUUUGUAUGCCUUUCACCUUUGCUGACAGCAUUAUGGGCUACUGGGUGUUUACAGCCCCCUUGUGUCCAAUUGUGUUAUUUUUUCAAAUUUUUUCCGUAUGUGGAAGUGUAUUUACUAAUGUCGCAAUUGGAAUUGAUAGGUUUAUGGCGGUCUCAUUUCCGUUGCAUUCCAGAAUUACGUACCGACGGGGAAAAUACGUAAUUGCAUUGGUCUGGCUGUGCGCGUUUGCACUUUCGGCCGUGCAGUUUUUUAUCGGACGGUCGUCCAUCUACAAGGGCAGAGUCAUUUGCAACGAGGAAUGGCCCCACCCUAGUUCACGUCCACUGUACACUGUCUUUGUGAUGAUUUUGACCUACAUGUUUCCUUUACUUAUUCUUCUACUUACAUACACCGUAGUUGGAAUAAUGCUUUGGAAGCGGACGGCCCCGGGAAAUAAACAUUAUGAAAGAGAUAGACAUCAACUUCGAUCGAAAAUUAAGGUCGUCAAAAUGUUAGUCAUUGUCGUUGUGAUGUUUGGAAUCUGUUGGUUGCCUCUCCACUUGUUCAAUCUCAUAGGAGACUUUACCGAAGUUUUUAAAGAUGUUCCGCACCAACAAAAACUCGCCCUAUUUCUGGGCGCCCAUUGGUUAGCCAUGAGCAACAGCUUUGCAAACCCAAUCAUAUAUGGAUUUACCAAUGAAACAUUCAGGGUAUGAAAAUAACACUUCAGCAGAUUUUCACAUUGCAAAUAUGUUUCACAUAUUUGCUGUGAUUUAAGCUUAAUGCAUUCGGUAUAAAUUUAUAUAUUGACUGAAUGAAUGGAUUGCUUCUGCAUGCAACUAAUUUUGAAAAAAAAGUAUUCAUUUUAGUCUACGAAUAACGAGUAAGCGCUUAAAAAUAAAAUAUCUCAAAAAUUACAGACU